GUCUAUAAAUACCUGAAGGAAGGCUGUAAAGAAGACAAGCCAGUUUCUUCUCAGUGGUGCCCAGUGACAGGACCAGAGGCAGCGGGCACAAACUGAAACACGGGAGGUUCCUUCUGAAUAUCAGGAAACCCUUUUUCAUUGUGAGGGUGACAGAGCACGGGCACAGUUUGCUGGGAGAGGUUGUGUAGUCUCCAUCUGUGGGGAUAUUCAAAACC